UGGUAAUUUCCUCUGAACAUGUUUUCAAGGCAACACUUCUGUAUUGUAGGUGACAAUUUGGGAUCCCACUGCAUUGGUGGUUUUACAGAAAACUUCAGCACUAGUCAGUACUUCUGCAGAUACUGCCUUAUAAAGAGAGAUGGAACAGGAAAGCACUGGGGAUUCUGUUUUAAACUCCCACAUUAGUUCUGUGUUGCCAAACCUCACCACCUGUGUGCUCAAUUCUGUUUUGGACACACUCAAAAACCUGGGUGUAGAAACCCUGGAUGAUUUCAGAUUUGUAAAAGAUGAUGAUCUCCUGAUGGUCCUCAAGCCAAUAGAAGUUUGAAAACUCCUAGCCAGCUUUACAGUCACGUGUGAAACCACGAUUUCCAGCAGUCUGUGCUCAUCCAGAACAGAGACCUCAACAGUCUCCAGCCCAGGGUGCUCUUUUGCACAGAGUUGUAUCGAGUUGGAUGAAUCACUUUCACCUUUGGAAGCUGACUGGUUCCUUCGGUUUUGAGAUACCAUGGGAAAAACUCCCUACUGACCUCCUUUACAAGUUAGAAAGGCAAGAAAGGCCAUCGCCAAAGCAAAGCAGAGAAAUGAUACGACUCAUUUAUUAAUGAAGUCACGGGUCUGCAAGAGGCCUUCAAAGAAACAUCUUGCAGAUAUAGCAAGAAGAAUUGUGGCAAAAUAUCCUAAAUCUUUGCAGAAUGUUAUCGAAGGCCACAUAUUUGGCAGUGGAUAUGAUUCCUUGGUAAAACAGCUGCAGAGCAGAUAAUGUGAAGUGUACACAGUUUUCUACCCCCAAAAGACAGUUUCAACACAGUAGUGGGAGCGACACGGAAGAAGUUCCUGCAAAGGAACAAGCUUUACCUCAAGACACUUACGGUUGCAUAAACUGGGAUCCCGAGCACCUGCCAAUCACAGAGACACUUACAAGCCAAAAACAGCAACAAGAAGAAAUGAAAACCAUGUUCAGAGAAAGAAACUGGGAUCAAAGUGUUAGUUGGGCUGUGGCAGCUCUGGGCUUGCAGUGCAAAAAAUAGGUUUUCAGUCACCAGCAUGUCAACUGCAGCACAAAGCAGCUUCUCCACAUUUGACUCCUAGGCCGGGACCUGAUCAAAACUUUGACGACCCGCCAAUCACACUUUACAAAACAGAAUGUUCUCGCUUCACAGGUGUUUCUUUUUUUUUUUUUUUAUCGGG